rnacentral:rRNA from 1 species
UACAUGGGGUGCAAACGUUGCUCGGAAUUAUUGGGCGUAAAGCGCACGUAGGCGGUUUGUUAAGUCGGAUGUGAAAUCCCUCGGCUCAACUGAGGAAGUGCAUCCGAAACUGGCAAGCUUGAGUACGAAAGAGGGUCGCGGAAUUCCCGGUGUAGAGGUGAAAUUCGUAGAUAUCGGGAGGAACACCGGUGGCGAAGGCGGCGACCUGGGUCGAUACUGACGCUGAGACUCGAAAGCGUGGGGAGCAAACAGG